rnacentral:rRNA from 1 species
GAAAAGAACCCCGGCGAGGGGAGUGAAAAAGAACCUGAAACCGUGUACGUACAAGCAGUGGGAGCACGCUUAGGCGUGUGACUGCGUACCUUUUGUAUAAUGGGUCAGCGACUUAUAUUCUGUAGCAAGGUUAACCGAAUAGGGGAGCCGAAGGGAAACCGAGUCUUAACUGGGCGUUAAGUUGCAGGGUAUAGACCCGAAACCCGGUGAUCUAGCCAUGGGCAGGUUGAAGGUUGGGUAACACUAACUGGAGGACCGAACCGACUAAUGUUGAAAAAUUAGCGGAUGACUUGUGGCUGGGGGUGAAAGGCCAAUCAAACCGGGAGAUAGCUGGUUCUCCCCGAAAGCUAUUUAGGUAGCGCCUCGUGAAUUCAUCUCCGGGGGUAGAGCACUGUUUCGGCAAGGGGGUCAUCCCGACUUACCAACCCGAUGCAAACUGCGAAUACCGGAGAAUGUUAUCACGGGAGACACACGGCGGGUGCUAACGUCCGUCGUGAAGAGGGAAACAACCCAGACCGCCAGCUAAGGUCCCAAAGUCAUGGUUAAGUGGGAAACGAUGUGGGAAGGCCCAGACAGCCAGGAUGUUGGCUUAGAAGCAGCCAUCAUUUAAAGAAAGCGUAAUAGCUCACUGGUCGAGUCGGCCUGCGCGGAAGAUGUAACGGGGCUAAACCAUGCACCGAAGCUGCGGCAGCGACGCUGAUGCGUUGUUGGGUAGGGGAGCGUUCUGUAAGCCUGUGAAGGUGUGCUGUGAGGCAUGCUGGAGGUAUCAGAAGUGCGAAUGCUGACAUAAGUAACGAUAAAGCGGGUGAAAAGCCCGCUCGCCGGAAGACCAAGGGUUCCUGUCCAACGUUAAUCGGGGCAGGGUGAGUCGACCCCUAAGGCGAGGCCGAAAGGCGUAGUCGAUGGGAAACAGGUUAAUAUUCCUGUACUUGGUGUUACUGCGAAGGGGGGACGGAGAAGGCUAUGUUGGCCGGGCGACGGUUGUCCCGGUUUAAGCGUGUAGGCUGGUUUUCCAGGCAAAUCCGGAAAAUCAAGGCUGAGGCGUGAUGACGAGGCACUACGGUGCUGAAGCAACAAAUGCCCUGCUUCCAGGAAAAGCCUCUAAGCAUCAGGUAACAUCAAAUCGUACCCCAAACCGACACAGGUGGUCAGGUAGAGAAUACCAAGGCGCUUGAGAGAACUCGGGUGAAGGAACUAGGCAAAAUGGUGCCGUAACUUCGGGAGAAGG